ACAAACUGAAAAAGUGGGUUACUUGAUAAAGAGAAGUCGUGAUGUAGCAGGACCAAACCAAAUUGGUCCUCCUUUGAAGUCUAUGCUCCCUUCUUGUUACACAAAAAUAGGCAAAGAGGGGCAGCUGUAACGGCCCAAUUUUGCCAGACCUAAAUAAAACAAAACAAAAAAAAACAGAAACAAAUAGAAGUCCAGUCAAUUUACAAGCCCAAUGACCCAAAUCCAAAUACUAACCCAACAG
rnacentral:lncRNA from 1 species